AUUGAACGCUGGCGGCAGGCCUAACACAUGCAAGUCGAACGGUAACAGGAAGCAGCUUGCUGCUUCGCUGACGAGUGGCGGACGGGUGAGUAAUGUCUGGGAAGCUGCCUGAUGGAGGGGGAUAACUACUGGAAACGGUAGCUAAUACCGCAUAAUGUCGCAAGACCAAAGAGGGCGACCUUCGGGCCUCUUGCCAUCGGAUGUGCCCAGAUGGGAUUAGCUUGUUGGUGGGGUAACGGCUCACCAAGGCGACGAUCCCUAGCUGGUCUGAGAGGAUGACCAGCCACACUGGGACUGAGACACGGUCCAGACUCCUACGGGAGGCAGCAGUGGGGAAUAUUGCACAAAGGGCGCAAGCCUGAUGCAGCCAUGCCGCGUGUAUGAAGAAGGCCUUCGGGUUGUAAAGUACUUUCAGCGGGGAGGAAGGGAGUAAAGUUAAUACCUUUGCUCAUUGACGUUACCCGCAGAAGAAGCACCGGCUAACUCCGUG
rnacentral:rRNA from 1 species